ensembl:lncRNA
CGUCACGAGACGUGUAGUCUUUCUCAUUGUGUUUUCUCUACAGCCUUUAACUGAACAAUUGCACAAUAAACGGUCAAACUCUUGACACGAAAAUUAUAAUUUAAAUCCACAAAAAAGAUAUCUGUAAUCCGGGGCAUAUAAAGACUGGGACCAGAAGAUAAUUACUUUCUCUCCAUUGAAACCAUGGGCUCUACCGGAAAGGGCUUGACCUCACCACUCAAUACCCAGGUGCAUACCUUCGAGCAACAAUUAUCUUGUCCAGAUCUAAAUAAAGCUACUGUAGGCCACAUCGGUUCUAGGAAUGAAAGUCUCCAGCGUCCGUGUCAUAUGCUCUCUGGGGCCUGUCGCUCAUGCAGUCUUCCGGCAGCUCAGGAACAUUCCCUGCACGGGCUCAUGUCGCCAUUCCAAGAAAUCUGCCACGCAAAACCCGUCACUAAUGGCAGUGAAUAACAGGACUCCUACAGCAGCCCCCCAGACAGACCAGUACCGGGACUGGGUGCAGAACAGUACCGGGACUUAGUGCAGACCAGUAUCGGGACUUGGUGCAGACCAGGACCAGGACUGGGUGCAGACCAGGUGGCAUUGCGGGCAGAUGUUGGUGUUCUCAGAGCCGCUUGGCGCCUCGUGAAACCCAGUCUGAAAUCAGAACGAAAAAUACUACUGCUCGGUAGGUCAAGUGCCUACCGGGAGGAAAUGGCACGAAACAGACGUUGCAUUGGCCGGGAAUCGUACCCGGGCCUCCCGCGCGGGAGCCGAAAAUGGUUGAGCUUAACUUCCUUAACUUUCCCCAUUCAUUCUCAAUGGUAGUUCUUAACAGUACGGAUGUAAUAUAUUUCCGGUCACUGGUGGACAUUUGGCGCUGUCCCGAGUUUCCGUUAUUUAGGUUAGGUUAUUACAAUGGUCUUACCUGUCAACAACACUUAUCGCGGACCUUCAUAUAGCAUAGGCUUACACUUUUUAGCUUGAUGGUAAAACGCGACGCUGCUUCAAAACUGAAAUGGUACGUAGGAGAAUAGAUAGUAUUCUCGAUCGUCAAUACUAUAUAUAUAGAGAAUAUAUAGUAUUGACGAUCGAUUUGAUGUACAGUUAGUAGUCAUAUGCAACGUUAACGUUGUAUAUCAAUCUACUUUUGGUCUGAUAUUUGCUGUGUAUAGUGCUACCAAUGUAUGUCUUUUAAUGUUUGAGCCAAUUUAACUUACUGUCUAUUAUUAUCAGACAUCACAUCAAUCAAUGACAUGGUGUCAUUAAUUAUUAGUAUUAUCAUCUGUUUUGUUAUGUUUAAUUAUUUUUUCUUCUCUCCUACUAUUUUUCUCCAUCUUUCUAGCAGCCUUUACACCCCUUAAAUUGUGUGCAGCUCCUGCAACUCACAGACACAAAGUAGUGUUUAUUUCAGCCAGCAUGAAGGUAAAGGUUAUUUUCCCGGGAAAGGUCAAGGUUUCUUUCCGGAGAGGGCCGACUGGGUAUUUGAGGCAAGACCCAUCAGUCGAGGCUAAGAGGAUUAAAGACCACCCUGACCUCCAGGACAAGUCAGCGGCCCAGAAUGAAGACCGGGUGAAAGACAAUGCCAGGUUUGUCGUAUUCAUGAGAGGGGGGGGAUAUAUCAGACAAGCAGGAGGUGCUUGGGGAGUAUGUCCUGCAGUUUGGGAAAUACAAGGGAAAGUUAUUCCGGUGGCUUGCAGAGAAUGAUGUAGGGUAGGUAACAUACCUCAUCAAGAAGGUCAGGGAGGAGGAGAGAGCAGGCCAGUUUAAGCCAGAUGGUCCCAAGAAGGACAGCUUUUUGUCACUCCUGCAGUACAGCUACAGCUUCCAGGAGAUCAAGGACCUGCUGCUGUAUCUGGACAGUCCGGUAGAAACACCACCAGCUAAGGAUGACGAAGACAACCUAGUUGGUUUUGGGGUUCACACGAAGAGGACGUGGAGGGAUGUUUGGGAGCGGAGAGACGAUGGAUUUUCUGCGUUCAUCCUGCGACAGCAGUGUACGCCAGGCAGCAAAAUGUUUAGGCUCCAGGACUACCUGAAGAGGCAGAGUGCUUCUGAGGGACGUGCAUCCUCAGGGCAUGCAACAUCGGCCUCUCAUUGCCCAGCUUUCACAGAAAUGGAGGAUGAUGAUGAGUUGGAGAGGAUGAUGCUCUCUAUAUCCCCAUCCAAACUCCAAGCGGAGGAUGGAGUUGAGGAAUGGGAGAGAAUGAUGCCAGCCACACCUAUUCCAGGCCAUCUUGGUGAGAACCACACACACACACACACACACACACACACACACACACACACACACACACACACACACACACACACACACACACACACACACACACACACACACACACACACACACACACACACACAGUCAAGUUAUAUUGCUGUUUAAUGUUUUGUAAAAUGAUACAUGCUUGUUAUCUAACAUUAUUUUCUGCACUGUGCAAUCAGGUUCCCAAGUUGUCGGAGUCCCUGUGGUCAAAGGUUUUAUUCUUACUACAGUACUACUGAUUGUCCGGACAUGAAUUCGGAUGAUGUGUUCCACAUUUAUUUGUUGGUUAAGCCACGUUCUGGCCUGUUUGUUACGCCAUGUUCCGGCCUCUUUUAAUGCCUCGUAGUAUGAAUACACACAGAGAUGAUAAUACUAAUAAUAAAUUUUUUCUCUGUCCCCUAUUCUUCUUCCUCUCCCUCCACUACUCUCCAUUACUCCAGCACCCUCUGCCCUGUCUAGAGUACCUGCUCUGUCUACGGCAUCCAGGUCCUCUUCCGCCCUUCCUGCAGCACCUGCUCUGUCGGCGGCGUCGAGGUCGUCUACAGCACCCUCAACAUCAUAUCCACCUCCUGCAGCACCCUCGCCACCUUGUUCACCUGAUCCACCACUCCCAAGGUACGACCAGGAUGUGAUUCGUUGGAACUGCUCUCACCAUCAGAGAAUCUGGAUGAAGAUUGAGAUGGAGCCCUUGGGGCUUUGGCCAGGUCCUCGAACGCUCCAUCCAUUUUUUAUAUGGAAGCCAGAGCACACCAUCAUGGAGCGAGUGAAGAACAACUACACUCUGCCCUGUCUCUAUAGCUGUGGAAGUCCUUUCGUAGUGUCAUCAGGAGUUGGGCGACCCCGUGUCAUUAUCGGCUUGGGUGGCCAGUAUUACAUCCUGGCGUCACGGCUCUGUUGCAAAGGAUGCAACAAGUUCUGGCACGCAGACAAGCCUCAAUGGUUGGACAUGUUGCCGAGCCGAUUCACCAAGAUCUUACCAGCUUUCCUUACCUUCAAAAAGGCAAUUUGUAAGACUGUGAUGGAUGAGCUGCGGCACUCUGGAAAGUCUCCCAAUGACAUGGCCAACCAGUUGAAUGAGGCUCUCCACCUCAAGUAUGAGCGGGCACACUUGGCAUACCUGGAAAGUGUGAAGAACGUGCUGGAUGGAGAGAGUGGACUGUAUGGACAGUGAACCAUCACAGGGGCAAUGAGAGCAACAUCAACUCCUGCUCCAUUUGGUGGGUAUGUGGAUGGGUGGCACGGAGUGAUGUUAUCGGGGCAUUACCUGGUCGAGUGCCUAAUUCAGGAGUUCCCCAGACAGGAAGACACCCUUGUUCUCCUCCAAGGCACAUUUGGUCAGGCCUUGAGAGCUGACCACACCAGGAAGGUGGCUCGGAAAGUGGUUCUUGCCUCAAGCACCAUGUCAUCAUAUGCUGUGAUGAAUGAAAAUUGGAUGAUCCUGUCCUGGGUUAUGCUUCAGACAGAGGGGGACAGAUCCUUGGAACCCAUGUACGAGGGGCUGUCUUGCCGUCGCAACUACGCAGACAUCCCCAAAGCCCAAUACCAGUGGGUUGACAGGGACUGCUGUGCAGCCUUCAGGGUUUGAUUUAGUGGCUGAGGCUACUUCAGGGCCCCUCAACAACACCUGUGUAUCCCGCAGCAAGUUCAACAGCGACAUUGACAUCAAGCUGGACCUGUUUCAUUGCAUGCGCCGCCUCUCCAGAGUGUGUGUCAGAGCACCAUCCACUGCACAGCUCUUUCUGCAAGUUCCUUUCUGCAGCUUUCACUAUCGUGGACCAGACAGACCUGGAGAAACUUAAACAGGCAUACGUCUUCUGCGGUGUUGUGCCUGCUAAUCCCACCAAACAGCACACCAAAGAGCACUGUCGCACCAGGGUACCUGGUCCCUGAGAGCUGCUGGAGAGAGUCGAGCGCGUUCUGCAGCGAUUCCAUUUGGAGAAUGAUCCCGAUGGUAUGCCACUGUUUAAGCCGUCAAUGUUGACGGUGUGGAGGAUUCAGCGUUUUCACAUCCUCAGAGGCUGCUUGAGCGACCCAGAGGUUGCAGAGGGAAUCCUUUACAGAUAUGGCGGAACAGUGCAGCUCAACCAUGUCAAGGGAGACGGAGCUACUGUGCCCCUGUGGAUCCCUGUGAGAGGUACAUCACAGCAGCAGGGGUUCCAUUUCCAUCAGGCAAAAUGGGUGACGGGUAACAAGGUCUCCACAGAACUCUUCCAAGCUUAGGGCAUGAUUGGUGUGGCUCAGUGGAAUUUCAAGCGCUUUGUGGACCUGAAGUUGCCUGAUGUGAUGCUGCCUGCAGUCUUUGAUCCAGUACUGAUGAUGGAGCUGAAUAAGCUCUCUGAAGUGCUGACAGGUCAUGCCAAGUACCCUGCCUUGCGUGUUUCACACACUGACACAGGAGAAAGGUUUGGACUCCAGUAUCUAGAACCUGGCUGUCGUCCUGUCCCGCUGGACUGCAGCAAGCACAAGACCCAGAAGGUUCCUGUUGCAGGAGAGAGAGAGCACCACUCCUCAGAACCGUCUCUUCUCAGUGAGACAUUCACUGAAGACCCAUCUGAGGAGACGAGGGAGGAAGACUGUGCUCUGGAUGACCUCUUUGGUGUGGCUUCCCUUGGCUCACAUGCAGUGGCCCAACCCUCACAGCCAUUCAAAGUUCUAGUUCUCCCAGUCCCAGUGAUGCCACCGAUGCCCAUGUCUGCCUCUCCACGUGCUGCACGCACAGGUCCAGUCAAGGCAGGCGGCCUACUUUUUGUCCUGGACCAUUCCCGGUGGACACAGCCAAUGAGGGAUGCCAUCGACGGCCUUCUGGCAAAGCACCAUGACCAGAAAGACCUCCUCGCCAAGGUGGAUGCAGAGUAUGCUACCCUUGUGCUUGCUGCCUCCAGAGAUUCGAACAACUUGUUACAUCCGACCACCAAACAGCACAUCUCACGGUAUGUGAAACACCAGGCCAAGCUGAUGAACACAAGUUUGUGUCUGAACACCGGUCCAGAGAAACUCCUUGAGACACAAGAGCUGUGGCAUCAUCUCACAGAGGGUAGUGAAACUGUUUGUGUCCCGGUGGUAACCCUCCCACCUGCACCUGUGAAUCUGCCCAGCAGUAAGUCGCAAGAGCCCUCUCUCACAAAGGCUGAAAUGGAAAACCUGGUCAAAGAGCUUGUGCAAAAGCAGGAAAAGCAGCAGCAGCAGCAGCAACAACAGCAGCCUGUGCCAAAAAAAAGUAGGAACUGUCUUGCAUGUGGCCCGCCUAAUUCCCGUUACCUUGGUGAUGGCUGCUCCAUUCACUUCUUUUACCUGGCAGGAAAGGUAAAGUACUUUAACUGCUCUACAAAGAUGCAUCGGACCUAUGUAGCAGAAGGCCUUAAUGAUCCCCUGCAUGGAAUUUCUUGACUUUGCUGCCUUUUUUCAAGAGAGAGCUGGAGGCAGCAAAGCAGCGGUCUGCUGAGUCCAGGCAGGUAAAAGAAGAGCGGGGAAAGAGAAAGGCCAUGGAGCAGCUUCCCACUGGUCACCUGUGUAGGUUCUGCCACAAACCUAUAAAACAAGGCCCAGGCGGUCGGCAUACACACACUGGGUUCCCUGGUGUGACCGGGAAAUACGUGUACUGUCCUUCAAAAGUUUUUCACCUGUAUCAGUCAGAGGGGAUGACUUCGGAGAUGUCUUGGGAGGAGUUCUGUCAGUCUCCCUUUUAUGAGACUGAAAAGAAGAGGUGGGUGGCAGAAAAGGGAAGGUGAUUGGUCCGUUUGGAACACUUAUAGUUAUUCAAUUUGGUUCAUCUUUUAUUUUUUUUAUUUUGUUAUGGGUAUUUUCUGAUCAGAUGCUGGAAAUGCACUACUUUAAAGGUCUACCUUAAUUUACUAAGUUAAUUUCUAUGUCAUUUUUGUUAUUCAUUCAGUUCAUUUUAUCUUAGCUAUUUAAAUUACGCUGUUUAGUGUGUGUGUGCUUAUUUUGAAAUAAAACCAGUUUAAUACAACCCUUG